GGAUGAAAGGGAGGUCUGCUGGGGUGGGGAGUGCUGUGCCAUCUCCUUGUGUCACAGCCAGCCCUGCCAGAGGCCACACGGCCAAUCACAUCCAGUGAUGGUGGCAUACAUCAGGCAGUAAAUCAUUAAAGUGCUCUGACUGCUCAGUUAGACCCUGCACUGGAACAUCUGGGUACCUCAUGCUGCCUGUGACUGCAUAAAGGCUGGAGUCAGGCUCUGAGUCUCACCACCCUCUCCCCUGUGCAGAUCCUUGUGCUUUGCCCCAGGGAGAGAGCCCUUCAGCUCAUUAUCAUUUUCUAAGCAACCAGUCUUGCAAGUGCAGCUUGGAGCAGAGCAUCUGCUGGAUUAUGUCUGCAGCCCUGAAUCUUUGGAAACUGCUGAAGCAGGCAAAGUCCCCUUGAAUGCAUCCCCAGAGAAGAUGGCUGAGGUAUUGAGGCGCCUCAGGUGCACAGCCAAGUGCCAGACCCCCCAGAGUGCACAAUGAAGAGCCACAGAGACAGAGAGAGGAAAAAAUACAUGCACCAGAACACAGCAUCCAGCUCCCAUACCAGAAAUGGAGAGAAAGUCCAAGGCCCUGGCUUGUCACCUGUUUAAUAGGCACAGCAAAAGGAAAUUUAUAAACCCAGUUCACUUGUUAUGAAUAAAAACUCUCUCAAGAAAUCCA
rnacentral:lncRNA from 1 species